rnacentral:rRNA from 1 species
GACAGAGGGGGCAAGCGUUGCUCGGAAUUGACUGGGCGUAAAGGGCGCGUAGGCGGGAUGGCAAGUCGGUCGUGAAAUCCCUCGGCUCAACCGAGGAACGUCGAUCGAUACUGCUGUUCUUGAGGAUUGCAGAGGAGACUGGAAUUCCCGGUGUAGCGGUGAAAUGUGUAGAGAUCGGGAGGAACACCGGUGGCGAAGGCGGGGUCUCUGGGCAAUUCCUGACGCUGAGGCGCGAAAGCGUGGGGAGGCAAACGGG